AGGACUUCCAAAUUCGACGUUGACUGAGAAGCUCAAAUUAUAUGGAUAUACCGCGCAUACGAAUUAGCUGUUGGCGCCGAGAGAAAUAGUCGUUUGUGGCUGCUCGUUGGAACCAAUAGGAGUCACCUCACCUCUCCUCAACUCUAUUUUUGAGGGACAUUAAAUAUCUGCAAAUACUACCAGUUAGAUUUUGGUUACAUAAAUGACUGUCUGUGUGUCUGGUUAUCUGUGAGUGUGAAUCUGUGUUUUAUUGUCUUCAAGGCUCGAGUGAACAAGAUGUUACUAAUAUAGUGCGUUCUCCGCCCACGAUUUCAUUUCCACCUACCAACAAAGGAAAUGACAAUCAAGCACUACCUAGUCAUGAUAAAAAUAAAUAUAUAUAUAUUUUGUAGUUUGUAGUUUGUAUACAAAACCUUAAGGAUUAAAUAAAACUAUAAUUUU